GAUGAACGCUGGCGGCGUGCCUAAUACAUGCAAGUCGAGCGAACGGACGAGAAGCUUGCUUCUCUGAUGUUAGCGGCGGACGGGUGAGUAACACGUGGAUAACCUACCUAUAAGACUGGGAUAACUUCGGGAAACCGGAGCUAAUACCGGAUAAUAUUUUGAACCGCAUGGUUCAAAAGUGAAAGACGGUCUUGCUGUCACUUAUAGAUGGAUCCGCGCUGCAUUAGCUAGUUGGUAAGGUAACGGCUUACCAAGGCAACGAUGCAUAGCCGACCUGAGAGGGUGAUCGGCCACACGGGAACUGAGACACGGACCAGACUCCUACGGGAGGCAGCAGUAGGGAAUCUUCCGCAAUGGGCGAAAGCCUGACGGAGCAACGCCGCGUGAGUGAUGAAGGUCUUCGGAGCGUAAAACUCUGUUAUUAGGGAAGAACAUAUGUGUAAGUAACUGUGCACAUCUUGACGGUACCUAAUCAGAAAGCCACGGCUAACUACGUG
rnacentral:rRNA from 1 species